AUUGAACGCUGGCGGCAUGCUUUACACAUGCAAGUCGAACGGUAACAGGCCUUCGGGUGCUGACGAGUGGCGAACGGGUGAGUAAUGCAUCGGAACGUACCCAGAGGUGGGGGAUAACGCAGCGAAAGCUGUGCUAAUACCGCAUGUGAUCUGAGGAUGAAAGCGGGGGACCGAGCAGCAAUGUUUGGCCUCGCGCCUUUGGAGCGGCCGAUGUCGGAUUAGCUAGUUGGUGGGGUAAAGGCCUACCAAGGCGACGAUCCGUAGCUGGUCUGAGAGGACGACCGGCCACACUGGGACUGAGACACGGCCCAGACUCCUACGGGAGGCAGCAGUGGGGAAUUUUGGACAAAGGGCGCAAGCCUGAUCCAGCAAUGCCGCGUGCGGGAAGAAGGCCUUCGGGUUGUAAACCGCUUUUGGCAGGAACGAAACGGUGUCCGCUAAUACCGGGCGCUAAUGACGGUACCUGCAGAAUAAGCACCGGCUAACUACGUG
rnacentral:rRNA from 1 species